AUUGAAACUAGACUUGCAUUACAUGAUAAACAUCCUUUACAGAUUUCCUAAGGAUAAAGUUCCAGCUUCUUUAGUUCUUUGUCUGAUAAACAUCCUUUAUAGAUUUCCUAAGGAUAAAGUUCUGGCUUCUUCAUUGUCCAUAUCCAGCCUUUUUACUGAGCUAGAUCACCAUCUUUUUGACUCACCAGUUGGUGAAAAUCAUGUUGUUCAGUUGAUCAAGAACAUCAAGAGUUACUGCAAAGUUAAAUUUUAUCAUCUUGGAAAGAAGACCACUGAGAAUUCA